GAUCAUGGCUCAGAUUGAACGCUGGCGGCAGGCCUAACACAUGCAAGUCGAACGGUAACAGGAAACAGCUUGCUGUUUCGCUGACGAGUGGCGGACGGGUGAGUAAUGUCUGGGAAACUGCCUGAUGGAGGGGGAUAACUACUGGAAACGGUAGCUAAUACCGCAUAACGUCGCAAGACCAAAGAGGGGGACCUUCGGGCCUCUUGCCAUCGGAUGUGCCCAGAUGGGAUUAGCUAGUAGGUGGGGUAACGGCUCACCUAGGCGACGAUCCCUAGCUGGUCUGAGAGGAUGACCAGCCACACUGGAACUGAGACACGGUCCAGACUCCUACGGGAGGCAGCAGUGGGGAAUAUUGCACAAUGGGCGCAAGCCUGAUGCAGCCACGCCGCCGUGUAUGAAGAAGGCCUUCGGGUUGUAAAGUACUUUCAGCGGGGAGGAAGGGAGUAAAGUUAAUACCUUUGCUCAUUGACGUUACCCGCAGAAGAAGCACCGGCUAACUCCGUGCCAGCCGCUGC
rnacentral:rRNA from 1 species